rnacentral:rRNA from 1 species
UACGAAGGGGGCUAGCGUUGCUCGGAAUCACUGGGCGUAAAGGGUGCGUAGGCGGGUCUUUUAAGUCAGGGGUGAAAUCCUGGAGCUCAACUCCAGAACUGCCUUUGAUACUGAGGAUCUUGAGUUCGGGAGAGGUGAGUGGAACUGCGAGUGUAGAGGUGAAAUUCGUAGAUAUUCGCAAGAACACCAGUGGCGAAGGCGGCUCACUGGCCCGAUACUGACGCUGAGGCACGAAGGUCAGGGGAGCAAACGGG